rnacentral:rRNA from 1 species
UACGAAGGGGGCUAGCGUUGCUCGGAAUCACUGGGCGUAAAGGGCGCGUAGGCGGAUUUCUAAGUCAGAGGUGAAAGCCCAGGGCUCAACCCUGGAAUUGCCUUUGAUACUGGAGAUCUAGAGACCGGAAGAGGUAAGUGGAACUGCGAGUGUAGAGGUGAAAUUCGUAGAUAUUCGCAAGAACACCAGUGGCGAAGGCGGCUUACUGGUCCGGUCCUGACGCUGAGGCGCGAAAAGCGUGGGGAGCAAACAGG